rnacentral:lncRNA from 1 species
CUCAAGUCAUCAGGUCACAGGCAUAUUUCUCUGGUCCUCCCCUAACAGAUUACAAUCCCAAAUGAGAGAGGGGGUCGUCUCUAGUCUUCACCACAGAAGGCAGUGCAACACUGACCACAGAAGACGUAAGCGAGGCUUGAACCAAUGGAAACACAAAGUGGCUGGCCAACCCAGUGGAGGUGGCAGCUGUGCUUGGCAGUGUGAGGGAGAGGGACACUUUUUAGGAAAAUGGUACAGCCAUCAAAGGAAGCUGGAGUGCCUGGGAGAGUUUAAGAUAAGUGCAAUAACCGAAGAAGGAGCACCUGGUAAAAAUGGAAGUGGUGACAUAGAGUGCUCAUCUCAGGAAGUAGCUUCUAGAGGAACUCAACUGCAGGUGUUGUUCCUAAGACUAUCUCCAAAAAACCACCUGGGUACAACUCUCCAGCUGAAGAUCUGUUUCCUGGGGAGGUUAAUUCUGAGAGUGUUCCUAAAAAGGAGACUGAUGAUUUUGAAGAUGGGUCACCUACCAGCUGGCUGGGAAUAAAGACCCUGUCACUAGUGGCAGAUUAUAGAUAGCCCCUGGCCUACUGUAGUGGUGCAAUUGUUGAACUCUCAUAAGUGGUAACUGGUAUCGGAAUAGGUAGGUGAAAUAUCUCAGAUGUCUCAUUCCAUCAAUGCAUUUAAAGGGUAACAGAAUAUGCCACCCCAAAAUAUGCCUAGGUGUUCAGGACAUGGCACCCUAAAAUAUGCCACUUUGGUAUAUUAUUUUGAGCGGUAGGCACUUGAAAACACAGCAAAUUCAAGGAGGGGCUUUCUCUGAACUUCCUAUAUUUGCCUAAAGACACAUCUUCCAAAAGGGAUACAAUUGUCAUAGAACAUCUUCAUAGGAGUUUCAUCAACCUUGUCACAGAAGAACAGAAUCAGUACCACACUCAGAUAAACUUUGGCACAAACUAUCAUACCUCCUCUCUAUUCUUCUAAUGGUCCAUUCAUCUUCCCUAAAAAUCAUUUACUAUUCCUUAAGUGUCCCACAUAUUCCUCCUCUUUCCCCAUUAAGAUGGUAUUUAAGUCUAAAUUCUAAGCCACCUUGGAGGGUUAGUCAUUUUUUUUUUUUUACUGAGUACCUUCCACAUAUACAUGAGGAAUAUAUGUUAAAUUUCUGUUUGUUUUCCUCUUAUUAAUGUGUCUUUUAGCACAGGAAUUUCAGCUAAGAACUCAAAAGGGUAGAGGGAAAAUUAUUUUUCCUCAACUACUCACUAGAGAAAGAUAAUGAAAGGCUGAAGAUGAUUAAUCAUCAAUUUAAGACAAAAUAUGAAAGUUAGAUGGUCUCUAUAGUUGCAAAAAAAAUAAAUAAAAUCCUUGUCUCCUGUUGUGAGAAAAC